rnacentral:rRNA from 1 species
GGCAAUGGGAGAAGUAUACGGGUGUGGCGGGAUAGCUGGAUUCCUCGUCCCUACUCGUAUAAACCAAUCACACGGCAGGGGGUGUGCCGCAUCAGAUAUGUUUCUGACCUGCUAAAUGAGAACGGCUCCUGGAAGGUACAAGUUCUGAACCAAUAUUUCAUGCAAGCUGAUGUGGCCGAAAUCUUAAAAAUUAGAGUUUCGCCAAGGCAAAGCGAAGAUGUCAUUGCUUGGGGGCCAGAUAAAUUGGGGGUUUUCUCUGUAAAGAGGGCUUACCAUUUGGCGUUUGAUGUGGUACACAGGUCCAAUGCACCGUCCUCUAGCUCGAUGCCUUCCGGUGCGAGGAACUGUUGGAAGUUCAUAUGGAAGUGUGGUGCCCCGCCAACGGUGGCAAAUUUUGCAUGGAGGGUUGCGACUGAUGGGUUGCCAACGUGGAAGAAUAAGCAUAAGAUUGGCUUGGAGACCACAAGUAUUUGUCCAGUCUGUGGAGUAGAGGAAGAGGACAAUUUUCACCCUUUCUUGAGAUGCCAACUAGGAAGAGAUCUUUAUUUGAGUAUGGCAAAAAUCUGGAGCUUACCCCGGCCUCAGAUGAUUCCCAACUGUGGGAAGGAGUGGCUCCUGCAAUUGUUAGCUCCCAGAAGUGAUAUGGAACGCUGUAUGAUUCUGCUUGUUUUCUGGAGAGCUUGGUAUAUUCGCAAUGAAGUGGUGCAUAAUAAACCAACACCGCAGAUGGAGGCGUCAGUAAGAUAUCUGCAGAGUUACCUUGCUUCUCUUAUGGCCAUCACGAUCGACAGUAGUGCUGAUCCAGUGAAAGGGAAGUCAUAUAUUACUAUGGAGGAAAGAGGCCAUGGCGAUUUUCACACGGCAAAGCUGCCUGGAUGGGAGAAACCAAAACACGGGUGGAUGAAACUAAACACAGAUGGAGCUUUUGUGGCAUGUGAUAAUGCGGAUGCUGGCAUGAUCUUGAGGGAUGAGUUUGGCAAAAUAAUCUUCUCUUCUUGCAGGGUGCUGCAGUUUUGCCGAGACGCACUAGAGGCUGAACUUUAUGCAUGCUUGGAAGGGCUAUCUUCGGCGGUCCAACGUACGUCUCUCCCGAUUCAAGUUGAGAUGGACUCCUCUAUUGCCGUUGCUAUGAUCACGUGUUGUGAAGUUGAUCGAUCACUGUAUUCAUUGUUGAUUAAUGAGAUUAGGGGUUUACUAAACCGUCAUCAAGAUUGUAUUACUCAUAUUGCUCGCUCACAGAAUAAGGCGAGCGAUAAGCUAGCGUCUUUUGGUCGUUCUAGUAAUAGAACUAUGACUUGGUUAGGGUCAGGUCCUCCUGAAGUUUUGGAGAUAGUGGUUGAGGAUUGUUUUGAUACUGUGAUUGAGUAA